rnacentral:lncRNA from 1 species
UACCGCUACCUCUGAAGAAGUAGAGAGGUUAUUUUCGAUAGAACCCCGGCUCAAGAUAAAGAAUAGUAAACAAGGGGAUGGAUGACAUAACAGAAAUAAGGAAUAAGAAAUAAUAAAAUAGAAAUAAGAGAAAUACGAAAUACGAUAAAUAAGGGCAACACGAAAUAAGAAAAUAGGAACUAAGAAAUAAGAAAUAGGACACCCACCUAGUAGUAACAUACACUCACAUACCAAAGACACCGCACAACCCUAAGAUUACUAACCCGGCUACACAAGAUCCCUCCUGACUGCUUGCUACAACCCACAC